CCUACGGGAGGCAGCAGUGGGGAAUAUUGGACAAUGGGCGAAAGCCUGAUCCAGCCAUGCCGCGUGUGUGAAGAAGGCCUUCGGGUUGUAAAGCACUUUCAGUGGGGAAGAAAGCCUUGGGGCUAAUACCCUCGAGGAAGGACAUCACCCACAGAAGAAGCACCGGCUAACUCCGUGCCAGCAGCCGCGGUAAUACGGAGGGCGCGAGCGUUAAUCGGAAUUACUGGGCGUAAAGCGCGCGUAGGCGGUCUGAUAAGCCGGUUGUGAAAGCCCCGGGCUCAACCUGGGAACGGCAUCCGGAACUGUCAGGCUAGAGUGCAGGAGAGGAAGGUAGAAUUCCCGGUGUAGCGGUGAAAUGCGUAGAGAUCGGGAGGAAUACCAGUGGCGAAGGCGGCCUUCUGGACUGACACUGACGCUGAGGUGCGAAAGCGUGGGUAGCAAACAGGAUUAGAUACCCUAGUAGUC
rnacentral:rRNA from 1 species